CGCCAAUCAGCGGAAGCCGCCGGGGCCGCCUAGAGAAGAGGCUGUGCUUCGGCGCUCCGGCUCCUCAGAGAGCCUCGGCUAGCUGGGAUUCUGUCCCUGACCGUCUUCACAGUCCAGGUGAUCUUGACUACUGCUUUACAGAGAAUUGGAUCUGAGGUGUGGAAACAGGAAGAGAACUAGAACUGGAAGUAAAGCAUUGAAGAUGUGACUGAAUUGCUGCAAUCUCAUGAUCAAAUUUGAAUGGAUGAGGAGUUGCUUUUUAGGGAUGAGCAAAGAAAGUGGUUUCUCGAGAUGGAAUCUACUGGUGAAGUUGCUGUGAACAUUGUUAAAAUGCCAAUAAAGGAUUUAGGAAUUACAGAAACCUGGUUGAUAAAGCAGUGCCAGGGUGUGAGAGAGUUGACUUCAAUUUUGAAAUAAGUUCCACUGGCUGGGUGUGGUGGCUCACACCUGCAAUCCCAGUACUUUAGGAGGCCGAGACUGGUAGAUCAUUUGAGGUCAGGAGUUCAAGACCAGCCUUGCCAACAUGGUGAAACCCCACCUCUACCAAAUUAGCCAGGUUGCUCCUUGAGGGCAGGACAGUUCUUAUGGCUUUAUCCGUUGCGUAAGCACAGAGAGGUCUGCGAGGUCAAAACUAUUGUCAUGAUAGCAAGAUGCCUGUCUUUUUCAUUUAUUCUCACGGUGUGCAGAGGCUACAUGAUGUGUGAUGACAUCCUCAUUGAUGUUAAUGAAUGGUGCUAUACUUGAAUUUUCUAAGGUGUCAUUAGCAAUUCUCCUGCCUCAGCCUCCUGCAUAACUGGGACUACAGGGAAGCACCAUUUUCCACAAAACUCUCAAGAAGGACUUGUUGCAACUGGAAAAGCAAUUAAAUGUGAAUCGUGAUCCAGGAGAAAGUAACAACUCACAUAACUCCCAAAUUAAAAGUUUUCCAAAGAUAUAUCAUUUUUUUUCUCUUGGCCUUUUAAGAAACUAGCCAACAAAUACUCUUGACAGGUUUGUGUUUGGUUUUGAAAACACACACCUUAGUGUACUGAAAGAAAAACAAUUUCUUUUAAUUUGGUUUGUUGGUCCCACACCCCAUCUAUCAAUGUAUGUGCUAUUUACAAAUAAGUUCUAUACAGUAUUUUUGCAGUACCUUUGAUAAUUCCUAGACCUCUAUUUUCAUUCUGUGUAUUAAUGUGAAUAACAGAUGGAUAUUUUAAUAUUUAAGGCAGAUGGUAAACUUUCCUAUAGGUCUUGUGAGACUUCGUCUUAUAGGCUGAACACCAUUCACAAAAUGUAAUAAUGCUUCAUUCCUUCAGGUUGAGGUAAAGAACUUGAGCAACUGGAUUAGCAAAGCUGCAAAGAAUGAAAUGUGGCCUAAGAUGUAAUUAUGUUCUCUGCCCUUCCUUUGGGCCAGGGUAGUUUUGCACUUGACACAAUGGAAAAUAGGCCAUAAAGCCUGAAAAUAAAAUGUUCUAAACCCCAA
rnacentral:lncRNA from 1 species